rnacentral:rRNA from 1 species
AGGUUGGCUCAGAAGCAGCCAUCCUUUAAAGAGUGCGUAACAGCUCACUAGUCGAGUGACCCUGCGCCGAAAAUGUACCGGGGCUAAGCCUGAUACCGAAACUGCGGAUUGUAGGAAACUAUAGUGGUAGGGGAGCGUUGUAUACGAGUAGAAGCCGUACCGUGAGGAGCGGUGGAUUGUAUAGAAGUGAGAAUGCCGGUGUGAGUAGCGAGAUGUAGGUGAGAAUCCUACACACCGAAAGCCCAAGGAUUCCAGGGGAAGGUUCGUCCGCCCUGGGUAAGUCGGGACCUAACGCGAGGCCGAAAGGCGUAGUGGAUGGAAAGCAGGCGAAAGAUUCCUGCACCCGUAUAUGGAGCGAAGGAGUGACGGAGACGGAUAGUGUGACCCUCUUAAUGGAUUGAGGGCGAAGCGAAGCGGCUGGUUACCAGGCAAAUCCGGUAACCAUAAGGCUAGAGCGUGAGAGGUAAGCGAAAUCUUAGGAAAGUAGCGAAGCACAUGAUGACGGCUUCCAGGAAAAGCUUCUGGCAAUGCAUAUGCGGCCCGUACCAAAACCGACACAGGUGGGCAGGGAGAGAAUCCCGAGGUGAGCGAGAGAACUGUUGCCAAGGAACUCGGCAAAAUGACUCCGUAAGUUAGCGAGAAGGAGUGCUUAAGCAAUUAAGCCGCAGUGAAGAGGCCCAAGCGACUGUUUAACUAAAACACAGCUCUCUGCGAAGUCGCAAGACGAAGUAUAGGGGGUGACACCUGCCCGGUGCUGGAAGGUUAAGAGGAUCUGUUAAGAGCGAUCUGAAGCAGUGAUCCGAAGCCCCAGUGAACGGCGGCCGUAACUAUAACGGUCCUAAGGUAGCGAAAUUCCUUGUCAGGUAAGUUCUGACCCGCACGAAAGGUGUAACGAUUUGGGCGCUGUCUCGGCAGCAGACUCGGUGAAAUCUUAGUACCUGUGAAAAUGCAGGUUACCCGCAACUAGACGGAAAGACCCCAUGGAGCUUUACUGCAGCCUGAUAUUGAAUUCUGGUCAUACAUGUACAGGAUAGGUGGGAGACAAAGAGACGUGCACGCCAGUGUACGAGGAGUCGACGUUGGGAUACCACUCUUGUGUGACCGGGGUUCUAACCUGGUAUCGAGAACAGGUACGGGGAGAGUGUCAGGUGGGCAGUUUGACUGGGGCGGUCGCCUCCCAAAGAGUAACGGAGGCGCCCAAAGGUACGCUCAGAUUGGAUGGAAACCAAUCGACGAGUGCAAUUGCAGAAGCGUGCUUGACUGUGAGACUUACAAGUCGAACAGGGACGAAAGUCGGGAAUAGUGAUCCGGCGGUGCCGAAUGGAAGGGCCGUCGCUCAACGGAUAAAAGCUACCCUGGGGAUAACAGGCUGAUCUCCCCCAAGAGUCCACAUCGACGGGGAGGUUUGGCACCUCGAUGUCGGCUCAUCGCAUCCUGGGGCUGAAGUAGGUCCCAAGGGUUGGGCUGUUCGCCCAUUAAAGCGGUACGCGAGCUGGGUUCAGAACGUCGUGAGACAGUUCGGUCCCUAUCUGUUGUGGGCGAAGGAGAUCUGCGGAGAGCUGUCCUCAGUACGAGAGGACCGGGAUGGACCUACCGCUGGUGCACCGGUUGUUCCGCCAGGGGCAUAGCCGGGUAGCUAAGUAGGGAAAGGAUAAGCGCUGAAAGCAUCUAAGCACGAAGCCUACUCCAAGAUGAGAUCUCCCAUUCGCAAGAAGUAAGACCCCUUAAAGACGAUAAGGUAGAUAGGCCAGAGAUGGAAGUGCAGUGAUGUACGGAGUUGACUGGUACUAAUCGGUCGAGGACUUAAUCAG